AGCGAACGCUGGCGGCAGGCUUAACACAUGCAAGUCGAGCGGGAGUAGCAAUACGUCUGCGGCAGACGGGUGAGUAACGCGGGGGAACGUACCUUUUGGUUCGGACCAAGACAGGGAAACUUGUACUAAUACCGGAAAAGCCCUUACGGGCAAAGAUUUAUCGCGGGAGGAGCGGGCGUCGCCUGAUUUGCUAGUUGGUGAGGUAACGGCUCACCAAUGGGACGGUAAGUAACUGGUCUGGGAGAAACAUCAGCCACAUUGAGAGUGAGAAACGGCCCAAACUCCUACGCGAGGCAGCAAUGGGUGAUAUUGGACAGUGGGGGCAACCCUGAUCCAGUCAUGCCGCGUGAGUGAUGUAGGCCCGAGGGUUGUAAAGCUCUUUUGUGCGGGAAGAUAAUGACGGUACCGUAAGAAUAAGCCCCGGCUAACUUCGUG
rnacentral:rRNA from 1 species